AGCGGUGAAAUGCGUAGAGAUCUGGAGGAAUACCGAUGGCGAAGGCAGCCAUCUGGCCUAAUACUGACACUGAGGUGAGAAAGCAUGGGGAGCAAACAGGAUUAGAUACCCUGGUAGUCCAUGCCGUAAACGAUGUCUACUAGCCGUUGGGGCCUUUGAGGCUUUAGUGGCGCAGCUAACGCGAUAAGUAGACCGCCUGGGGAGUACGGUCGCAAGACUAAAACUCAAAUGAAUUGACGGGGGCCCGCACAAGCGGUGGAGCAUGUGGUUUAAUUCGAUGCAACGCGAAGAACCUUACCUGGUCUUGACAUAGUAAGAACUUUCCAGAGAUGGAUUGGUGCCUUCGGGAACUUACAUACAGGUGCUGCAUGGCUGUCGUCAGCUCGUGUCGUGAGAUGUUGGGUUAAGUCCCGCAACGAGCGCAACCCUUUUCCUUAUUUGCCAGCGGGUUAAGCCGGGAACUUUAAGGAUACUGCCAGUGACAAACUGGAGGAAGGCGGGGACGACGUCAAGUCAUCAUGGCCCUUACGACCAGGGCUACACACGUGCUACAAUGGUCGGUACAAAGGGUUGCUACCUCGCGAGAGGAUGCUAAUCUCAAAAAGCCGAUCGUAGUCCGGAUCGCAGUCUGCAACUCGACUGCGUGAAGUCGGAAUCGCUAGUAAUCGCGGAUCAGAAUGCCGCGGUGAAUACGUUCCCGGGCCUUGUACACACCGCCCGUCACACCAUGGGAGUUUGUUGCACCAGAAGUAGGUAGUCUAACCGCAAGGAGGACCGCUUACC
rnacentral:rRNA from 1 species